UGCGUAUGAUGAUAACUCUGAGCUGCAAAAUCUGAAUGCAGUGUUGAUAAUACCUUGGAGAACUGAGCACUCA